rnacentral:rRNA from 1 species
CUAAGCGUACACGGUGGAUGCCCUGGCAGUCAGAGGCGAUGAAGGACGUGCUAAUCUGCGAAAAGCGACGGCGAGGUGAUAUGAACCUUUGACCCGUCGAUGUCCGAAUGGGGAAACCCAGUGUGUUCCGACACACUAUCGUUAACUGAAUACAUAGGUUAACGAGGCGAACCGGGGGAACUGAAACAUCUAAGUACCCCGAGGAAAAGAAAUCAACCGAGAUU